UACGUAGGGUGCAAGCGUUAAUCAGAAUUACUGGGCGUAAAGCGUGCGCAGGCGGUGAUGUAAGACAGAUGUGAAAUCCCCGGGCUCAACCUGGGAACUGCAUUUGUGACUGCAUCGCUGGAGUGCGGCAGAGGGGGAUAGAAUUCCACGUGUAGCAGUGAAAUGCGUAGAGAUGUGGAGGAACACCGAUGGCGAAGGCAGCCUCCUGGGCCAGCACUGACGCUCAUGCACGAAAGCGUGGGGGAGCAAACAGG
rnacentral:rRNA from 1 species